UCAAAUAGAUAGGACUGGAGCCUCCUGUGGACAAAACCAACUUUCCUCACAAGCAUAACAGAAUGCCUGUCCUCAUGACUUGCUGGCUGCCCACAGAACAUCCCUAGAUGUUGCAAAGUCACUAUGUCUGCUUUCUACAGAACAUUUCCUAAACCACAACGCCCCUGCUGGGGAUGGGGAUUCAGAGAUUGGGCAACAUUUGGAGGACCAGCACAUUGUUGUCUGUGGCCUGAAGCAGUUGCCAUUCUCUAACUAUAGUUUUGGCGCCUGGUGUCCCCCCUCCCUUCACACCCACUCCUUGGAAACGCAGGGCAGGGGAUUGAGUCACUUGGUGUAGGAGGCCCGCCUUCUACACACCCCACUACCAAACUCAGAAAGCUUCCGUGCCUGCUCCUCCGUUGUGUAAGGACAAAUCACUAUAGCAGCCCAUUGCAUACAUUUCCUGUGGGUGUUUCUCCCUUGAAACCGUAACAGAUAAAGGAAAGGUCAGUACCGGUGCUAACUAGCUGACAUACCCCACCCCACGCUUCAGCAGCUGGGGCUCACUGACAAGCUAGGGAGUGUCCUCCUCUGUCCCCACUUAAUUUCCUCCCUCCGUUUUUUGUUUUUUUUUUUUUCUACAGGCUUUAGCGGAUGUAGCUCAAGUUGUCCCCAGACUCAUGCUCCACCGGCUUCCACUUCCUCAGCUGAAGCGCAAGAACUUCCAGUGCCAGCACCAACUUCACAGAGUUCUCCCAGCCGUGCUCCUGAGAGGUGACAAGUAUUGAUUUUAUGCCUGUCUUUUUUUUUUUUUUUUUGGAGCUGGGGACCGAACCCAGGGCCUUGCGCUUCCUAGGCAAGCGCUCUACCACUGAGCUAAAUCCCCAACCCCUUUUAUGCCUGUUUUGAAGUACUGAAGCCUUCUGAGCCGGUAAGGUGUUGUUGUCUUUGUUUGAGACAGGUUUCAUGUAGCCCAGGCUGGACCCAACUUUCUAUGUAGAUGAGGAUGACCAUGACACCAUGAUUUUUUUUUUGGAGGGGGGUGUGUUGAGACAGAGUUUCUCUGUGUAACCCUGGCUUACUCUGUAGACCUGGCUGGCCUGGAACUCAGAGACCUGCCUGCCUCUGCCUCCCAAGGGCUAGGAUCAAAGGUGUGCAAUACCAUAGCUGGCUUGGCUUCCACUCCGCUAACUUUUAAAAAAGAGUAUUCAGUUGUAUAUUUUUCUAGAUUGUUGUAUCAUAGUCUUAUGAUUAAGUUGUGUGUCAGUGUGUUCUAGAGGGAGGCUAAGGCUACAGAGUAGAGAGAUGGACUGGGAGUUUAGAGAACCUGCAGAGGACCACAGUUCAGUUCCCAACACCCAUACACCCAUGUAGUGGCUCACAACCAUCUGUAGUUCUGGCUCCAGAGGACCCAAUGGCCUUUGCUGGCCUCUGUGGGCACCAAACAUACACACAUUGUACACAAAUAUAUAUGCAGGCAAAACACUCAUAUGCAUAAAAUAAGUAAUCCCCUUUUAAGCUCUAGAAGGCUGUAUGGAAGCAUGUUAACAGUGGUUUUGCACUACUCUUCCUCUAGAAUCAUCAGACAAACUUCAAAACAGCUCUUUCUCCUUCACUUGUUGUCUAGACUCAGUGGCCUCCUUGCAGCUAACUCAUUUGCAGGUCAUUUGUGUGCAGGGAUAAACUGCUUCUCUUGACUCCUAAAGGUCUCCAGUGGCCCUUACAAACAGGCAGUGCACCUAGCUACCAGCAGAGUCUGGGGAACAGGGUAGUCUUCUGAGAAGUUCUCACUCUCUUCUGAAGACUUGGGGAAAAUAUUACCAAAGAUCAUGAGCUAUGGACUGUUGCUGUCCUUAUGCAUGAGACUCAUCAGUGUUUCUGUGCUUCCAUAUACAAAGAGCAGUUUUGGAAAACAAUAAGGGUAUACGAAACUAAAAUCAAGUUGAAUAUAAGGGUGCCUGACUUUAAUCCCAGCCAGUGAUGGAUCUCUAAAUUUGAGUCCAGCAUGGUCUACAAAGCGAGUUCCAGGACAACCAGGGCUACACAGAGAAACCCUGUCUCAAAAACACCGAAAAGAGAAGAAAACGAAAAUCACUCCAGCUAUUUAGGAGGCUGACACAGUAGGACCGCAAGGCUGAGGACAGCCUGGCAAACAAACAAAAAUCUCAAGGGGAAAAUAAAAGGAGAGCAGACAAAGAAAACAGGAAGGAACAAAGCUCGAAUCAUAGAAACAUAAAAGGCAAGCUAAAGUGGCAGAGGUGUAAGUCCGUGGCAGAAGCCUCGCCUUGCAAGCCUUUCCCAUCUCUAGAACAGUAAUGGGACCACCUUGAAUAAUGAACAACAAUAAAUAUAACUUAAAACAUACUACUUGUUCCUGGAAUGUUUUUAUUUUGACACAUGGGGAUGAACUACCUGUGAAAUGUUCAAAAACUUGUCCCUGUCGCCCACCCACUCAAGGCCUGAACCUGGCUUUCAGUCCGUACAAGUUAACUCUUACAUGACCUAUGCACCGGGAAGUUUGUGUUCCAGGAACUCAGACACGUCAUGAGAUCAGAUAGCUGUACUCAAAGGGAGCAAACGACCUCCUCCACCCUGUAACCAGAGUUCCGAGAAAAGCCACAAAGAACAUCUGUGGGACCCCAGAUAUCCCUUUUGCCCACUCAAAACUUGCUUAAGUUUUGAAUAAGCUCGGGGACCAAUCAUGUAUCGCCCCGACAUCCUUUUCCCGCUCCUUAUCCAAAACCCUAUAUAAACUCUGUGUUUUUGUGGUUCGGGGCCAAUCCCUCUGCCUCCUGCAAGAGGUACGUAUUGACCCAGAGCUCUGCCCGAAUACAGCUUGUUGCUUUUUGCAUCGAACUCAGUCUCUUGUCAUUCUUGGGCGCCGCUCCUUCCCGAAUUGAGUGAGGCUGAGGAAGCCGGACUGAACAUUUGGGGGCUCGUCCGGGAUUUGAGCGAACGCCCCAUGCGACAGAGACUCUCUGGAAGUUCGGAAGCUGUUUCAGUUUUAUGUGUUCAGUGUGUUGCUUUUGUGUCCUCAGUGUUGUGGUGUUAGUCUUGAGUGUCGUUGUUGGUGGCCUUCUUCUGUGGUAUUUUCUGGGACGGCCAUAGAGGGGCUCCAGGUAGGAGCCAAGGAGCAGCUGCCCAGGGGACCAUGAGGACGCCGGUGGCUGUGGGGAGCGGAGGGACACCUCUGAAGGAUUGAGAAGACGUGGAAUCCUCCCUGUGGGGUGACAUGGAAUCCGACCCAGCCUCUGUUUGCCCGACUCAAAGCCCUCGAACUUCUGAGAAACCAAGUGUGGAACCAGUUGAAGGACUCCUAUGAGGCCAGGGACCUAUCCAUACCUCACCAGUUCCAAGUGGGAGAUGCGGUCCUGAUACGGAGACAUCGUGCGGGGAACCUUGAACCACGCUGGAAGGGACCCUAUCUGGUACUGUUGACUACCCCCACCCCGGUGAAGGUGGACGGGAUCCCUACCUGGGUACACUCAGCGGGGGGGGGGGGGGGCAAAGAGUCAGAGCAACCCCCACCGAGCCAUGACCCUAACCUGGCAAAUAGUUGACGUUGACUCAGGAAAAGUUAUAAACAGCUCCCGAACUAGUGCACUGCCAGGAACCUGGUGGCCGGAGCUUGGAUUUUGUCUUUGGGACAUAAAUCCUACGGCCAAAACUAACCCCCCUAACCUGAUCCGGAGCUAUGGGUUUUAUGCUUGCCCUGGGACUUCAGAUGAAUGGAAAUGUGGGGCGUCUAGUGAGUUUUUCUGUAGACAUUGGACCUCCAACGAUGGAGAUUGGAAGUGGAAAGUCAGUCCUACCGACCGGGUAACUCUCUCUUUUGCAAACACUGGACCUGGGAGAUACGUCACCUCCCUCUUUAUGCAGGAAAAUCUUGCCAUCCCUCAGAUCUAGAUUAUAUAAAGGUCCAGUUUACAGACAUAGGGAAAAACACUCCUGUUUCUACUUGAUCCGACUUUUACAAUAAGUAUGGAAACCAACCUGGAUACUUGAUCCAGAUUCAACACACAAUGGAAAGUUUGCCAUCACCCCCAGUGGGCCCUAAUAAGGUCCUGCCCGAUCAAGGGUCUCCAAAAGCCCCAGCACCACCUCCGCGGCCAAAAAGCCCCAGUAACUUCUCUGGCAGCUCCACUGGCGAAAGCGCCCAUGUCCCCUCCCAGGGGACAUAACAGCAGUACUAGCUCGCCAGUCACUAGCGUACCUUCUACUCUGUCUACCCUUAUGCAUACUGUGCCCCUCACCCUCAUUACCAGGCACCCUUCCACUGGAGAUAGACUGUUUAAUCUCAUCGAACUCAGUCUCUUGUCGUUCUUGGGUGCCGCUCCUUCCCCAAUUGAGCGAGGCUGAGGAAGCUGGACUUAACACCUGUUAUUGCAAACUAAAUGAAGUUUUCUCAUAGAUUUUAAUCAUGAAGGUAUUCCUGUCCUUCCCCUCCCUGCAGUCAAGGCAGAGGUCUUUUGAGGUAGUUACACAGUUCUGUCUCCAGUCGGGAGGUGGGGGGAGAGUGCAGUAUCCCACAGUGUUAAAAGGUUUCAGACAAGAAGAUGAAUAGUCAUGCUUACAUGGAUUCUCGUGUCUCUAUUCCAGCAGUUCUCAACCUGUGGAUCGUGAUCUCUCCGGCAAACCUCAGUCUCUAAAAACAUUUACAUUACGACCAUAACAGUAGCAGAAUUAAAGUUUUGAAGUAGCAAGGAAAAAUAAUUUUAUGGUUGUGGGGGGGUGUUCACCAUAACAGGAAGAGAACCACUGGACUCUUUAAUUAUGUCAAUAAGAAUCUAAAGGUAUUUGGAUUGUUCUGGUUAGGUUUUGUUUUGUUUUACCAACUCUACACAAGCUAGAGUCACUUGGGAAGAGGGAACCCCGACUGAGAACAUGUCCUCACCAGAUUGGCCAUGGGGCAUCUUCAUGAUUAAUGAUUGAUGUGGGAGGGCCCAGGGCCCAGCCCACUGUGGGAAUUGCCACUGCUGGGCAAUUAUAUAAGUUGAGUGAGCCAAGGAGAGUGAACUAGGAAGCAGCAUUCCACUGCAGCUUUGGCUUCAGUUCCUGCCUGACCUCCCUCCAUGAGCAACUAUAGCCAGGAAGUGUGAGCCAAAUAAACUUUCCUCCCCUGCUUUGGUUGUGCUGUUCUAUCCCAGCAGUACAAAUAGCAAAUACAUUGCCUAUGGGAAACGUAGAUUUGCUGGGCAUGGUGGCACACGCCUUUAACCCCAGCACCAGGGAAGCAGAGGCAGGCAGAUCUCUGAGUUUGAGGCCAGCCCGGUCUAUAGAGUGAGACCUGCACAGAGAAAACCUGUCUCAUCAAACAAAAACAACAACAAAAAAAAUCACUUUACAGUUUUCGUUCUUGCUCAUUUCCAGCCUUUUACUGAUUGACAAAGCAAGGGCGCACGCACACACAACCAGAGUCAACAUGGCGCGAAAAUAAGAUUAAAAUGAGACCAAGCACGUUCCUCCUUUCCUUCCCUGGCCCCUCUCGUCCUACCUCCCCCUCCCCUUCCUAACGGUGUGGGUGGCAGAGGUUGAUGGAUCUCUGUAUGUUUGAGGCUAGCCUUGUCUACAUAGUCAGUUCUAGGACAGCCUGGGCUACAUAGAGGGAUCCUAUUUCAACCAACCAACCACCAACCAAUAAAUAAAUAAAACAGAAGG